UAGGACGUAUUGUGCACAUCCUAUCUGUGUC
rnacentral:piRNA from 1 species